rnacentral:rRNA from 1 species
UACGUAGGGGGCAAGCGUUGUCCGGAAUCAUUGGGCGUAAAGAGCGUGUAGGCGGCCAGAUAAGUCCGCUGUGAAAUCUCGAGGCUCAACUUCGAGCUGUCGGUGGAAACUGUCUGGCUAGAGUCCGGAAGAGGAGAAUGGAAUUCCUGGUGUAGCGGUGAAAUGCGUAGAUAUCAGGAGGAACACCGGUGGCGAAGGCGGCUUGCUGGGCCAGUUCUGACGCUGAGGAGCGAAAGCGUGGGGAGCGAACAGG